UAAAAUAAUUUAUAUAAAGCUUCUAACUUUAUUUUUAAGAUUAAAAAUCUUUUAUUUUUU
rnacentral:tRNA from 1 species